CAGUCAAUAAAAGAAAUGAGAAAACCAAGUUCAAAUAAGCUAAGUAAUAUGCCCAAGGUCACAGGUUUCUAAGGUUUUUUCUUUCUGAUCCCAUUGUUUGCCAUUAUGUUAUGCCAGUCUUGGUAAAUACAACACUAUACACUGGAUAUAAUCCAAAAGGUCUUUUCUAUGAUAUACUGCAGAUUUAAGCCAUCUUUGACUGGUUUUGAAGAGGUUAUCUUUUUCUGCCCAAGUUCAGGUAAUUCACUUGAAGAUUUUCCACAGCCUGUAGCAAGAUUACUGUGGGAAUGCAGAAAUGAUAAGUCAAUUAUUAAGCAUUUUGGUUGACAGUACUUCAGGCUUUAUAGAGCAAAUUAUUUCAGCAUUGCGUAUACUUAAGUAUGGACAGCAUUUGCUACAGACCUCCAUUACUGACAAAAGGCAGUACAGAUGGAUGUACUGUUUGAAUUUGUUAAUAUUUUAGUUGCAAAUUGUGAACCACUUGCCCGCUGAGUCUACUUCAUGACUGCUAGUUAUGUUUUAAUUGUGCCCGUUAAAAAUCAUGCUGAAAAAAUUUACAUUUGAUAGGCAAAGUUAAGUUUUACUCCCAUACUUGUCUCUCUGUAGGUUGCUAGAGGAAAGCAUAAGGAAAGUGAAAAAAAACAAGAGAAUGAAAAGAGAAGCUGCAGUUA
rnacentral:lncRNA from 1 species